CCUCCUUUCUAAGGAAAAAAUAAAAUUAUCAUCUUCAGUUUUGAAAGACUUAGAAAAUUCGUAAGUUUUUCUUUUUUUAAGGCAUUA
rnacentral:rRNA from 1 species